AGCCCCCGUCGAGCCCUUGGGCUCCCCGGGCGGUGACACCCCUUACCCUUUGUUUACCUUACCUCUGUUGCUUUGGCAAGGCCCCUGCCCGGGUGGUUCCAGGCUUGGGCUCUGCCAGAGGGCCCCAACUCGUGGAUAGUUUUUGUUUGUCUGAGUACGAUAUAAUCGUUUACAACUUUUAACAAUGGAUCUCUUGGCUCUGGCAUCGAUGAAGAACGCAGCGAAACGCGAUAUGUAAUGUGAAUUGCAGACUUUAGUGAAUCAUCGAAUCUUUGAACGCACAUUGCGCCCCGUGGUAUUCCGCGGGGCAUACCUGUUCGAGCGUCAUUACAACCUCUCCAGCUCCGCUGGGUCUUGGGGCUUGCCUUCCCGGGCAUCCCUUAAAGCUAGAUGCGGCGCCGCGUUGGCUCCAAGCGUAGUACUCUUCUCGCUUCUGGGUCCGUCGUGAUGUCUGCUACCGAACCCCAACUUCCUAUGGUUGACCUCGAAUCAGG
rnacentral:rRNA from 1 species